rnacentral:lncRNA from 1 species
GGUGGAAAUGUUUGAGUGUCAAGAAAGGGAACUGCACACAACAACAACAACCCAGUAAAAUCCCACAAGUGGAGUCUGGGAGGGUAGAGUGUACGCAAACCUUACCCCUACCCCGGAGGAGUAGAGAGCAUGUUUUCGAAAAACCCUCGGCUCAAGAAGACAAAAAGAGAGUGGAUCCGUAGCAAAGGGAACUACAUAAAUAGGAUAAGGUAGUCCCUCGAUGAUGAACUAUAUUCUUUUAUGAUGCUCUUUUUUUUUUUUUUUUUUUUUUGGUAUGGUGACUUGGGUGUGCACUUGGGUAAGCUUGUAGGUCUACUGCGCAUUCCUUUGGUUGGAUGGGUAUGAAUGACACAGAUCUUUAACUUAUCUUGAAGUGAUGUUUGGUGAGGAUGGGCUCCUUGGGGUAGCAUACAAAACCUUCCAUUUGGGAGGCACUGUUGUUUCUGGAGAUGUUUUGUUUUAAGAUUUUCGCACUGAAUAUCAAGCUACAUUCAGUACUUUUUGAAGAAGAAAUUAUUACAUAGAGAAAGGGACAGGGAAGGGGGACAGUGAGAACUGAACCUUACCUAUCAUUUCACACCAGUUUCAGUAGACUAUUGAUCUACAAACACACUUAAGUAUGUACUAGCAAAUACAUGGUGAUGAGGUCAUUAAUUCGUUCAAGCUAUUGCAGAUAGCAAUUGCAAUUACAUAUUUCUAACUGGUUUCUCUUUUUGUCUGUUAUCUUCCUUUCAGGCGUUAUGAUCGCUACUAGGUGGAAGCUGCUGUUCCGGGGCUAAUUUGUAUCUUGUUGGUGGAUGAUCACUAGCUAGCUGUUUUAGCAUCUAAUAUGAUGUCGCUUCUUAGUCGCCCAAUUUAGAAAGGCAUGCCAGAUGUCACAUAUAUAGCUAGCUUAAUUUUGUGGUUGUGGACAUUAUAUGUAGUGGAAGAAAAGAAAUUUGAUGUUGAUCUCUUAAUGUUGUCGUACAUUUUAUGCUGCUUUGAUAUUCUAGUAAAAUGCAGGAUUUUGCUGUUAGACUCUCCUACCCCCAGAUUGUACGCUUUUCUGCAGGGAAUUAU